rnacentral:misc_RNA from 1 species
GAUGAAGAACGCAGCGAAAUGCGAUAAGUAAUGUGAAUUGCAGAAUUCAGUGAAUCAUCGAAUCUUUGAACGCACAUUGCGCCUGCCAGUAUUCUGGCGGGCAUGCCUGUUCGAGCGUCAUUACAACCCUCAGGCCCCCGGGCCUGGCGUUGGGGAUCGGCGGAAGCCCCCUGUGGGCACACGCCGUCCCUCAAAUACAGUGGCGGUCCCGCCGCAGCUUCCAUUGCGUAGUAGCUAACACCUCGCAACUGGAGAGCGGCGCGGCCAUGCCGUAAAACACCCAACUUCUGAAUGUUGACCUCGUAUCAGGUAGGAAUACCCGCUGAACUUAAGCAUAUCAAUAAGCGGAGGA